rnacentral:rRNA from 1 species
UACGGAGGGUUCUAGCGUUGUUCGGAUUUAUUGGGCAUAAAGGGUACGUAGGCGGUUUAGUAUGUCAGAUGUGAAAGCCCAAGGCUCAACCUUGGAACUGCAUUUGAAACUGCUUUACUUGAGUAUUGUAUGGGAUGGCGGAACUCCUAGUGUAGGGGUGAAAUCCGUAGAUAUUAGGAAGAACACCAGAGGUGAAGACGGCUAUCUAGACAAUUACUGACGCUGAGGUACGAAGGCGUGGGGAGCAAAC